UUCGCAAUGCCCGAAAGGGUGACGAAGCGACGCCGCGUGCGGGAAGAAGGCCCUAGGGUUGUAAACCGCUGUCAGGAGUUAAGAAAUAUAGAGGUGUUAAUAGCGCUUCUAUUUGACGAAAGCUCCAGAGGAAGCCACGGCUAACUCUGUGCCAGCAGCCGCGGUAAUACAGAGGUGGCAAGCGUUGUUCGGAAUUGUUGGGCGUAAAGAGCACGUAGGCGGCCCUGCAAGUCAGUUGUGAAAGCCUUCCGCUUAACGGGAGAACGGCAGCUGAUACUACGGGGCUAGAGUACGGGAGGGGAGAGUGGAACUUCUGGUGGAGCGGUGAAAUGCGUAGAUAUCAGAAGGAACGCCGGCGGCGAAAGCGACUCUCUGGACCGAAACUGACGCUGAGUGUGCGAAAGCUAGGGGAGCAAACGGGAUUAGAUACCCCGGUAGUCCUAGCCGUAAACGAUGGGCACUAAGUAGAGGGGUUUUGAUUAUCUCUCUGCCGGAGCUAACGCAUUAAGUGCCCCGCCUGGGGAGUACGGCCGCAAGGCUAAAACUCAAAAGAAUUGACGGGGGCUCGCACAAGCGGUGGAGCAUGUGGCUUAAUUCGAUGCAACGCGAAGAACCUUACCGGGGCUUGACAUGAUAGAAGUAGAAACCCGAAAGGGCGACGAACGGUAUCCAAUCCGUAACUAUCACAGGUGUUGCAUGGCUGUCGUCAGCUCGUGUCGUGAGACGUUGGGUUAAGUCCCCUAACGAGCGAAACCCUUGUCUUUAGUUGCCAUCAGGUUAAGCUGGGCACUCUAAAGAGACUGCCGUCGUUAAGACGGAGGAAGGUGGGGAUGACGUCAAGUCAUCAUGGCCCUUAUGUCCCGGGCUGCACACGUGCUACAAUGGUCGAUACAAAGGGAUGCUAAAUCGUGAGAUGGAGCGAAACUCAUAAAGUCGAUCCCAGUUCAGAUUGGAGGCUGAAACUCGCCUCCAUGAAGUAGGAAUCGCUAGUAAUCGCGGAUCAGCCUCGCCGCGGUGAAUAUGUUCCCGAGCCUUGUACACACCGCCCGUG
rnacentral:rRNA from 1 species